rnacentral:rRNA from 1 species
GUGAAGAAGGUUUUCGGAUCGUAAAACUCUGUUGUUAGAGAAGAACAAGGACGUUAGUAACUGAACGUCCCCUGACGGUAUCUAACCAGAAAGCCACGGCUAACUACGUGCCAGCAGCCGCGGUAAUACGUAGGUGGCAAGCGUUGUCCGGAUUUAUUGGGCGUAAAGCGAGCGCAGGCGGUUUCUUAAGUCUGAUGUGAAAGCCCCCGGCUCAACCGGGGAGGGUCAUUGGAAACUGGGAGACUUGAGUGCAGAAGAGGAGAGUGGAAUUCCAUGUGUAGCGGUGAAAUGCGUAGAUAUAUGGAGGAACACCAGUGGCGAAGGCGGCUCUCUGGUCUGUAACUGACGCUGAGGCUCGAAAGCGUGGGGAGCAAACAGGAUUAGAUACCCUGGUAGUCCACGCCGUAAACGAUGAGUGCUAAGUGUUUGGAGGGUUUCCGCCCUUCAGUGCUGCAGCAAACGCAUUAAGCACUCCGCCUGGGGAGUACGACCGCAAGGUUGAAACUCAAAGGAAUUGACGGGGGC